CGAGUCGGCCGGGCGGCCGCGGCGAGGGAACCGUACGAGCAUUCGUGCAGGCCCGAUGUCGAGGAAAGUCCGGACUCCACACAGCAGGGUGGUUGUUAACGGCAACCCGGGGCGACCCGCGGGACAGUGCCACAGAGAACAGACCGCCGCCCGCUUCGGCGGGAGGUAAGGGUGAAACGGUGCGGUAAGAGCGCACCAGCGUCACGGGUGACCGCGACGGCUAGGUAAACCCCACCCGGAGCAAGGCCGAAGUCCGCACCGCUCGCGGUGCGGAUGCGCGAGUGCUUGAGGACUGCUCGUCCGAGCUCGCGGGUUGGCUGCUUGAGGCACCCGGCGACGGUGUGUCCAGAUGGAUGGUCGCCGCCGGUCUUCACGACCGGUACAGGAUCCGGCUUACGCGCCGACUCGUUCG
rfam:Gordonia malaquae NBRC 108250 DNA, contig: GM1004.